CGAAAGCCGUGCUAAUACCGCAUACGAUCUACGGAUGAAAGCGGGGGAUCGCAAGACCUCGCGCGAGUGGAGCGGCCGAUAUCAGAUUAGCUAGNUGGUGAGGUAAAGGCUCACCAAGGCNACGAUCUGUAGCUGGUCUGAGAGGACGACCAGAAUCGGAAUUACUGGGCGUAUAGCGUGCGCAGGCGGUUUUGUAAGACAGAUGUGAAAUCCCCGGGCUCAACCUGGGACCUGCAUUUGUGACUGCAAAGCUAGAGUACGGUAGAGGGGGAUGGAAUUCCGCGUGUAGCAGUGAAAUGCGUAGAUAUGCGGAGGAACACCGAUGGCGAAGGCAAUCCCCUGGACCUGUACUGACGCUCAUGCACGAAAGCGUGGGGAGCAAACAGGAUUAGAUACCCUGGUAGUCCACGCCCUAAACGAUGUCAACUGGUUGUUGGGUCUUUGCUGACUCAGUAACGAAGCUAACGCGUGAAGUUGACCGCC
rnacentral:rRNA from 2 species